UCUGGCCUCCAGCUGGGACACUCCUGUCUCUCCCCAACAGCCAGCGCCCUAACCACACCCCACUGCCACAAUGUAUUUCUACAUGUAUUGGUCAGGAAAAACAAUGACUUUGGUGGAAGCCAUCAAGCAGAUAGUGAAAACGCAGCGCUCGUGCAACAUCCUGGCUUGCGCUCCUUCAAACAGUGCAGCUGAUCAUCUCUGUUAGAAGAUUCUGGAAGGAAACGUAUGCAGAUCCAAGGUGUAUCGCUUGUACACCCUAAGAAGCCCUGUGAGAAAUAUUCCCAAAACUAUAAAGCGGUUCAACGUGGCAAUGACCCGAGCACGAGCCUUUCUGAUUGUGGUUGGAGACCCGAGACUCUUGAAAACUGACCAAAUCUGGAACAAAUUCAUCCAUUACUGCUUCAAAGAAGGGGGUUACCGUGGUAUUUCAGUCUUUAAUGGAGAGGAAGAGGAAGAUACACUGACUAAUGUACACCGAGCCUUUGAUCUACAGCCCACGGUGGAGAGUGAUUCGGCAACAACUGGACCACGGUCGUAGAAACCAAAACACAAGCUGCAGUACUUAACAUAUAAAAGUAAGAAUAAGUCACUGACACUUGUUGACGACUGCGAAACGAAGGAAAACACUUUAUGGUUUGCUAAGAAUUGUCAUGGAACAAGAAAUGAUUUAUUUUCAAUUGACAUUUUACUACCUGGGACAUUGAGAUGACUCGACAUACAGUCAAUAGAUAUUUUUCUAUAUGUAGUAUUUCCCUCUUAUUUUUUUCAUACCCAAAUAAUU